rnacentral:tRNA from 1 species
GUCCUUGCAGUGCAACGGAUAGCGCGUUGGACUUCUAAUCCAAAGGUCGUGGGUUCGAAUCCCACCUGGGAUG